CACGUAGUUAGCCGUGGCUUUCUCAUAAGGUACCGUCAAUUGAUAGUCAUUUCCUCCUAUCACCUUUCUUCCCUUAUAACAGAAUUUUACAACCCGAAGGCCUUCUUCAUUCACGCGGCGUUGCUCGGUCAGGCUUUCGCCCAUUGCUGAAGAUUCCCUACUGCUGCCUCCCGUAGGAGUCUGGGCCGUGUCUCAGUCCCAGUGUGGCCGUUCACCCUCUCAGGUCGGCUACGCAUCGUCGCCUUGGUAGGCCUUUACCCCACCAACUAGCUAAUGCGCCGCAGGCUCAUCCAUCAGUGAUGCCAGGAGCAUCUUUAAACUUUCGUCCUAUCCGGUAUUAGCGAUCGUUUCCAAUCGUUGUCCCCGUCUGAUGGGCAGAUCACCUACGUGUUACUCACCCGUUCGCCGCUUCCCACCGAAGUGGUUCGCUCGACUUGCAUGUAUUAGGCACGCCGCCAGCGUUCAUCCUGAGCCAGGAUCAAACUCU
rnacentral:rRNA from 1 species